rnacentral:lncRNA from 1 species
CUCAGGAAGGUGAAGGGGACGAGUCCAAGGACACUGCCGGUCAAACAAUGAGUGCUAGAGGCGUUCAGAAACGGGAAAGAUCACUUUGUGCUCCUGUGAUCUGAAGGCUGCGUGAAGAAGAUGAGGCUUGGAAAAUAGGUACAAAGUACAUAAUUGGAGUGGAUCAAUCUUAGGAACAGGCCAGCCUCAGUGGCUCACGCCUGUAAUCCCA